rnacentral:rRNA from 1 species
AUGGCUCAGGAUGAACGCUAGCUACAGGCUUAACACAUGCAAGUCGAGGGGCAGCAUUGGAGUAGCAAUACUCAGAUGGCGACCGGCGCACGGGUGAGUAACACGUAUCCAACCUGCCGCUUACUCGGGGAUAGCCUUUCGAAAGAAAGAUUAAUACCCGAUGGUAUAAAGAGUUCGCAUGUUCUCUUUAUUAAAGAAUUUCGGUAAGCGAUGGGGAUGCGUUCCAUUAGAUAGUUGGCGGGGUAACGGCCCACCAAGUCUACGAUGGAUAGGGGUUCUGAGAGGAAGGUCCCCCACAUUGGAACUGAGGCACGGUCCAAACUCCUACGGGAGGCAGCAGUGAGGAAUAUUGGUCAAUGGACGAGAGUCUGAACCAGCCAAGUAGCGUGAAGGAUGACUGCCCUAUGGGGUUGUAAACUUCUUUUAUAAGGGAAUAAAGUGAGGGACGUGUCCCUUUUUGUAUGUACCUUAUGAAUAAGGAUCGGCUAACUCCGUGCCAGCAGCAGC